rnacentral:rRNA from 1 species
CGGGAGGCAGCAGUGGGGAAUAUUGGACAAUGGGCGAAAGCCUGAUCCAGCAAUGCCGCGUGAGUGAUGAAGGCCUUAGGGUCGUAAAGCUCUUUUACCAGGGAUGAUAAUGACAGUACCUGGAGAAUAAGCUCCGGCUAACUCCGUGCCAGCAGCCGCGGUAAU